rnacentral:lncRNA from 1 species
CGAGUGAAAGUUUCUGGUGAGUUCCUUCGUACCUUCAGUCUGUUAUCUGCAUUAUUAUGUUUAACCUACCUACUAUAUUUCGAGGUAAGUAGCUUUAACCUUUGGUCUAGUUGCUCAUGUCAAAAUGGACAUGGUAAAGGGUCAAUUUAUAUACGAUAACAAUAAAAAAAAUUAGAGACAAAAGUCUUGCAUAUGUAUGGGUAUAAAUACUCCUUCCUUAG